UACGAAGGGGGCUAGCGUUGUUCGGAAUUACUGGGCGUAAAGCGCGCGCGGGCGGUCCUUCAAGUCAGAGGUGAAAGCCCAGAGCUCAACUCUGGAACGGCCUUUGAGACUAGAGGACUUGGGUACGGGAGAGGUGAGUGGAAUUCCGAGUGUAGAGGUGAAAUUCGUAGAUAUUCGGAAGAACACCAGUGGCGAAGGCGGCUCACUGGCCCGUUACCGACGCUCAGGCGCGACAGCGUGGGGAGCAAACAGG
rnacentral:rRNA from 1 species